rnacentral:rRNA from 1 species
AUUGAACGCUGGCGGCAGGCCUAACACAUGCAAGUCGAGCGGAUGAAGGGAGCUUGCUCCUGGAUUCAGCGGCGGACGGGUGAGUAAUGCCUAGGAAUCUGCCUGGUAGUGGGGGAUAACGUCCGGAAACGGGCGCUAAUACCGCAUACGUCCUGAGGUAGAGAUUGGGUGAUCUUCGGACCUCACGCUAUCAGAUGAGCCUAGGUCGGGUUAGCUAGUUGGUGGGGUAAAGGCCUACCAAGGCGACGAUCCGUAACUGGUCUGAGAGGAUGAUCAGUCACACUGGAACUGAGAAACGGUCCAGACACCUACGGGAGGCAGCAGUGGAGAAUAUUGGACAAUGGGCGAAAGCCUGAUACAGCAAUGCCGCGUGUGUGAAGAAGGUCUUCGGAUUGUAAAGCACUUUAAGUUGGGAGGAAGGGAAGUAAGUUAAUACCUUACUGUUUUGACGUUACCAACAGAAUAAGCACCGGCUAACUUCGUG